UGCAGUCGAACGAUGAUGCCCAGCUUGCUGGGCGGAUUAGUGGCGAACGGGUGAGUAAUACGUGAGUAACCUGCCCUUGACUCUGGGAUAAGCCUGGGAAACUGGGUCUAAUACUGGAUACUACCUCUUACCGCAUGGUGGGUGGUGGAAAGGGUUUUACUGGUUUUGGAUGGGCUCACGGCCUAUCAGCUUGUUGGUGGGGUAAUGGCUCACCAAGGCGACGACGGGUAGCCGGCCUGAGAGGGUGACCGGCCACACUGGGACUGAGACACGGCCCAGUCUCCUACGGGAGGCAGCAGUGGGGAAUAUUGCACAAUGGGCGGAAGCCUGAUGCAGCGACGCCGCGUGAGGGAUGACGGCCUUCGGGUUGUAAACCUCUUUCAGUAGGGAAGAAGCGAGAGUGACGGUACCUGCAGAAGAAGCGCCGGCUAACUACGUGCCAGCAGCCGCGGUAAUACGUAGGGCGCAAGCGUUGUCCGGAAUUAUUGGGCGUAAAGAGCUCGUAGGCGGUUUGUCGCGUCUGCUGUGAAAGCCCGGGGCUCAACCCCGGGUCUGCAGUGGGUACGGGCAGACUAGAGUGCAGUAGGGGAGACUGGAAUUCCUGGUGUAGCGGUGAAAUGCGCAGAUAUCAGGAGGAACACCGAUGGCGAAGGCAGGUCUCUGGGCUGUUACUGACGCUGAGGAGCGAAAGCAUGGGGAGCGAACAGGAUUAGAUACCCUGGUAGUCCAUGCCGUAAACGUUGGGCACUAGGUGUG
rnacentral:rRNA from 1 species